AUGUGAAAUCUCUUGGCUCAACCAAGAAACGCCAUAAGAAACUUUCAUGCUAGAGAUCAUCAGAGGGAGGUAGAAUUUCAGGUGUAGUGGUGAAAUGCGUAGAUAUCUGAAGGAAUACCAAUGGCGAAAGCAGCCUCCUGGGGUGAAUCUGACAUUGAGGGACGAAAGCGUGGGUAGCAAACCGGAUUAGAUACCCGGGUAGUCCAUGCCGUAAACGAUGAAUACUGGGUCUUCGGGGAUUCGACCCCCUGUGGACCGAAGCUAACGCGUUAAGUAUUCCGCCUGGGGAGUACGGUCGCAAGACUAAAACUCAAAGGAAUUGACGGGGGCCCGCACAAGCAGCGGAGCGUGUGGUUUAAUUCGAUGGUAAACGAAGAACCUUACCUAGGUUUGACAUAUAAGUGGUACUGAUCCGAAAGGUGAUGGACCCGCAAGGGAGCUUAUACAGGUGCUGCAUGGUUGUCGUCAGCUCGUGCCGUGAGGUGUUGGGUUAAGUCCCGCAACGAGCGCAACCCUCGUGGAUAGUUGUUUUCUUUAUCCAGACUGCUUUUACAAGAGGAAGGUGGGGAUGACGUCAAAUCAUCAUGGCUCUUACACCUAGGGCUACACACACGCUACAAUGGACAGUACAGACGGUUGCUAAGUCGCAAGAUGGAGCCAAUCCGAUAAAGCUGUCCCCAAUUGGGAUUGUAGGCUGAAACUCGCCUGCAUGAACCUGGAGUUGCUAGUAACCGCAGAUCAGAAUGCUGCGGUGAAUACGUUCCCGGGCCUUGUACACA
rnacentral:rRNA from 1 species